rnacentral:rRNA from 1 species
GAGCGAGAAAGUCCGCAAGGAUGAGUACAGCGGCGCACGGGUGCGUAACACGUGGGUAAUCUGCCCUGAAGCCCGGAAUAACCUCCCGAAAGGGAAGCUAAUGCCGGAUAAGACCACGGGAGCCUCGGCUCCUGCGGGAAAAGGUGGCCUCUGCACGCAAGCUAUCACUUCAGGAUGAGCCCGCGGCCCAUCAGCUCGUUGGCGGGGUAACGGCCCACCAAGGCUACGACGGGUAGCUGGUCUGAGAGGACGAUCAGCCACACUGGAACUGAGACACGGUCCAGACUCCUACGGGAGGCAGCAGUGGGGAAUCUUGCGCAAUGGGCGAAAGCCUGACGCAGCAACGCCGCGUGUGUGAUGAAGGUCUUCGGAUCGUAAAGCACUGUUCGGGAGGAAAGAACAAGCCUGUGGCUAACAUUCCACGGGCCUUGACGGUACCUCCAAAGGAAGCACCGGCUAACUCUGUGCCAGCAGCCGCGGUAAUACAGAGGGUGCAAGCGUUGUUCGGAAUUAUUGGGCGUAAAGCGCGUGUAGGCGGCCCUGCAAGUUGGGUGUGAAAGCCCUCGGCUUAACCGAGGAAGUGCGCCCAAAACUACAAGGCUUGAGUACCGGAGAGGAUGGCGGAAUACCCGGUGUAGAGGUGAAAUUCGUAGAUAUCGGGUGGAACACCAGUGGCGAAGGCGGCCAUCUGGACGGAUACUGACGCUGAGACGCGAAAGCGUGGGGAGCAAACA